rnacentral:rRNA from 1 species
GCCAACAGCUAUAUCACCCUGCAACUAACAGCUGGCAGCCCAGUGAAGCUAAGCAGGUGUGAGCCUAGUCAGUACCUGGAUGGGAGACCACCCGGGAAAAACUAAGGUUGCCGCUGGAA